rnacentral:lncRNA from 1 species
UGCUGGCUUAGGUUCUAUACAGAGCUGUCUUUACAUUGCAUUUCUUUCUUUUUGAUAGUCUAGCUCCACAGUGAGAGCCUAUCAAACCAGUAAAUCUCGAGUGACCAUGAGCCCUGGCUUCAGCUCCCAAUGGAACAGCAGCCAACCCGCCUGGAAUACGUACUCCUUUCCAAGAGCAAGCUUGCACUAUCAAUCCCACGCCAGCUAUACCUACUGCACUGGGCACCCUGCUGGAACUACAUCAAAUUUCCAACAACUUCCUAUGACCUGAGAGCCAUGAAGUGUCUGGGGAUCAUGUUCACGUUGCUCCCUGAACCCAGACCCACCGUGGACAGAGACAAGCGUUUCUUUGGGAAUUAUAUAGAAGACAUUAGAAAAGGUGCCAAGUCUCCUUUGCUCCUACACAAGGACUUUGUGUUCAAGGAAACCCAGCAACUUUGGAAAUAAAUGGAAAACAUUUCAAGGAGUACUGAAAACCGACAGUUUUCAGAGAAAUAAUGACCAGAUCUUCAGCUUCCAUGACUUUUCUUUUGUAAACAGAUUGCCCUAUAAAUUACCCAUAUUCCAAUAGCUGGAUUACCAUCUAGCCUAAUUUUCCUGGUUUAUGUUUAUUUCUUACAGUUGUUAUCAACUAGCGUUCCCUUUUGCUUUCAAAAAUGUUCAAGUUGAGAAGGUAUUUUCUAUGGUCUCCUUGCUGCUGCUGCUGCUAAGUCGCUUCAGUCAUAUUCAACUCUGUGUGACCCCAUAGAUGGCAGCCCAUCAGGCUCCCCCGUCCCUGGGAUUCUCCAGGCAAGAACACUGGAGUGGGUUGCCAUUUCCUUCUCCAAUGCAUGAAGGUGAAGAGUGAAAGUGAAGUCUCUCAGUUGUGUCCGACUCUUAGCGACCCCAUGGACUGCAGCCCACCAGGCUCCUCCGUCCAUGGGAUUUUCCAGGCAAGAGUACUGGAGUGGGGUGCCAUUGUCUUCUCCAAUGGUCUCCUUACCACAGCCUAAAAAAUAGCAUAUUCAUUGCACAUAAAUCUUAACUUUGGUCUGUUCCCUCAGGAUGUGAAAACUUCCCAGGAGGGUGCAAGUGAAGGAGACUCCUCAUGUGAUGAUUAAUCAAUCUUCUUAAAGCAGGGGGUCUUCUAGUAUUUCCCAGCUAUGUAUGUGUCUCUGUGCUAUUUUAUUUAAACUCAUAAUGAAACUUCUAGAUAACUUAAAAAUGGGAAAAAGAGUACAGAAGUUUCAAAAUUAUUCUGGGAACAUGUCACCAGAGUUUAAAGACUACUACUCAAUACUAAUUUUUUUUUUUCUUUUUCAUAUCAUGGAGAUUGUUCACAGUGAGCAAAGCUAUUCACAGCUCAGGACUCAGCCCCUGGCCUCGACCAGUUGUUCUAAAGGCUGAAAGAUUGCCUAUCUCUACACAUCUGUUUUGUUUUCACAUUAUAUCACUUCUAAGACUAUCA